rfam:Dipodomys ordii contig_23239, whole genome shotgun sequence.
UGGAAGGUAGCUCAGUGGUAGAGUGCUUGCCUUGUAUGCAAGAAGCCCUGGGUUCAAUUCCUCCUCACCAC